rnacentral:tRNA from 1 species
GCACAAAUAGUUUAAUUUUCUAAAACAUAGCCCUGAAGAAGCUAAAUUGGUUUUUAACCUUUGAGCA